UAAGGGUAGAGUCUAUAACAUAACCCAGUCACGGAUUCCGGGAAAAUUAUUUCCGGUAUGGUUUUCAAAUGUACAAUUUGCUUUAACACCGAACCCGAUUGUAUUUUUCGUGACACUGUUUGGAAAUCCAAGUAAGGAAAGUUCGAGGUAUUGAAUGCCGUUAUCCUUUCAUCUCAGCAACUGUAUGAAAUGGAUGAAGAAACAAGUGACACUUGGAAAGAUCUGUUCGAUGUAAGAUCAACAUCACUAUCUGGGUAUGUGACAUCUUCCACAAAAUUGGACAAGUUGUUAUAGGAGUAUGAUUAUGCAACUUCCUCUAGGUUCCGUUGUUUAAAAAGUUCCAAACAAUUUGGAAAGGAUGUUGAUGUAGGAGAGAUUGAUAAAUCCCAUAUCAGAUUUGUGGACACACAGGAAAAUGCUGAACCCCAUAUAGAAUAUGAUGCUAUCCCUUUCAUUAUUAUGGGCAAAAAAAUCUUGGAAUGUCACCAGGGAUAUGACAGAGACAAACGAAACAACCAAAAGAAACAAAACAAAGCAAGAAAAGAUUCUGACCACACAUAUAGACAAAAGCGUAGAUUGGUG